rnacentral:miRNA from 1 species
GGUUGCGGGGGCGGGCGG